rnacentral:rRNA from 1 species
GGUGCUACCGGGUGACCGGAUGCCGAUCUCGAAAACCUGUCCCAGUUCGGACUGGAGUCUGCAACCCGACUCCACGAAGUUGGAUUCGCUAGUAAUCGCGCAUCAGCCAUGGCGCGGUGAAUACGUUCCCGGGCCUUGUACACACCGCCCGUCAAGCCAUGGGAGCCGGGGGCGCCUGAAGUCCGGGACCGCGAGGACCGGCCUAGGGCGAAACUGGUGACUGGGGCUAAGUCGUAACAAGGUAUC